GACUGUGCUAUGGCUUUUCAUCAUAUUGAUGGCUUAUUUUGUAUUUAUAUAAUUCCUGUACAUAAGAUUGGGAUGAAAAGAAGAAAUUGUUGGAAACUUUUUCAGUCUCAGAUUUCCAUGGAUUGCAAAAGCAUUGCCACAAAAUCCUUUUUUCCCUUUCUUUUUUCUUCCUCCUGUAUUUACAUUCAUGCGAAUAAUUAGUGCUUUUUUUUAUUUUUUUAAUCAAUAUCUGCUAAUAACUCAUGUGUUAGUCUGUGAUCAGAUUUCAUCAAUUUUCAGAAAUUUGACUAAGAAAAACAAAGUUGCCGCAGACGAUUAGCUGGUCAUAAUGAGCAGUGGAGGAAGCCACCAUAUGGAUCAAUGAUGUCAUUGCGGUAUAGCAGAAUGUUUUCAACAAUUUUUGAUAAUAGCAGCAGAGCUGAGGGCUUUCUUGUAGAUUUUAGUGCUUGCUCAAGGAUUAGUGGGAGGGCGGCCACAUGGCCACCUGCAAGAUCUUAUGCGAGGAUACCUGAGAAUCAAACCACAGUGGUAGGAAGGUCUGUUCCUCAUCCUCCAUGGUAGAAUAGCUCUCAAAAUCCUCCAUCCAACAUUUAUAUGCAAAGUUCAGCAAGUGGGAUUGGUUUUUCUAAUUCUGAAAUUCCUUCAAGAGAAUGCUACACCGGAGUCAGCGUAAAUAGUCAAUUCGCCAGUGAUCCUGAGUUCUCUCAGCAGAAUACAAAGCAAUACAUAGAACUUGAUCACUCCGGCGCAUAUGACUCUUCUUUGCAGCAUAUGCACUGGUCCCUUUAGUGUCCCUUUUUGUCUGGCUAUCAUGGAAGUCUUCUAGUGUUGGGUAACUCUAAAUUUAAUAAAUUGGAAUAUGCAGGUCAGGAAGGUGAUUUUGUCCUUUUUUGGGAUAAACCCAUUCCAGCUCAUUGGCUUUUGGUCUGUAUUUUCUUGAGAUUGCAAGGCAAUUUCAGGCAAGGUGUUAUCUCUUUUUUCUACCAAUCAGCUUUUUGCGUCUCUAAAGUUGUCUGCUAGGAAUUGCACGAGGACAUUGGCAAUAAUGGGUUCCAGAGCCAUAUUACCAGAGUCUGGACAUUAUGCUUUGAACUUUAUCUGCAAGCAAUGGAGUCUUUUUAAGCAUGUUUUGCACUUCAGGUUUCCUUUUUUUUUUUUUUUUUUUUUUCCAGGUUUCCUUUUUUUUCAUAUUUUUUCCUCGAAAGUCAUGUGAAAAGCCAAUUUUCUUCUUUCCUCUAAUCGUUCAUUGUUCACUUAGAAACUUCGAUGGGCUUCAUAUCUUCUCCUCAUCAGUAUAUGUAUUUUCCUUUUCUUUUCCA